UUGGAAUGGCGGGGUCCUAUACAUGCAGUCGAGCGAAUGGAUUAAGAGCUUGCUCUUAUGAAGUUAGCGGCGGACGGGUGAGUAACACGUGGGUAACCUGCCCAUAAGACUGGGAUAACUCCGGGAAACCGGGGCUAAUACCGGAUAACAUUUUGAACCGCAUGGUUCGAAAUUGAAAGGCGGCUUCGGCUGUCACUUAUGGAUGGACCCGCGUCGCAUUAGCUAGUUGGUGAGGUAACGGCUCACCAAGGCAACGAUGCGUAGCCGACCUGAGAGGGUGAUCGGCCACACUGGGACUGAGACACGGCCCAGACUCCUACGGGAGGCAGCAGUAGGGAAUCUUCCGCAAUGGACGAAAGUCUGACGGAGCAACGCCGCGUGAGUGAUGAAGGCUUUCGGGUCGUAAAACUCUGUUGUUAGGGAAGAACAAGUGCUAGUUGAAUAAGCUGGCACCUUGACGGUACCUAACCAGAAAGCCACGGCUAACUACGUGCCAGCAGCCGCGGUAAUACGUAGGUGGCAAGCGUUAUCCGGAAUUAUUGGGCGUAAAGCGCGCGCAGGUGGUUUCUUAAGUCUGAUGUGAAAGCCCACGGCUCAACCGUGGAGGGUCAUUGGAAACUGGGAGACUUGAGUGCAGAAGAGGAAAGUGGAAUUCCAUGUGUAGCGGUGAAAUGCGUAGAGAUAUGGAGGAACACCAGUGGCGAAGGCGACUUUCUGGUCUGUAACUGACACUGAGGCGCGCAAGCGUGAGGAGCACACAGGAUUAAAUACCCUGGUACUCCACGCCGUACACCAAUGAGUGCUAAACCA
rnacentral:rRNA from 1 species